AAUCACUUCCUGUGUAACCUUUAUAUUCACCGGCGCUGCAUAACGUCGUUCCUUUUCACAGCCACCAGCCUCACACGUGAAUCUCAUGGAAAUCACUCGUCAACAGUUGUGACAGAUGUAGUGCUCUCCGCCCUCAGUGCAUGCCUCAUGGGACCAGCGCAGACAAAAGAGGCACUGCACCCACACUUCCCCAGGCAAGGAUGAGCUGAAAGUCUCCCCACACACCAGGCAAUCCUCAUUCUUGCUCUGGGUAGAUGCAGGGGCAGCAGUUGCAGUGCCUUCAUAAGAGAGCCUUUUCUUUGGAACCUUAGAUGACUUCUGGCCCCUUCGACGCUGCUCCUCCUCUAAAGCUGCUUUAACAUUAGUGUCUGUGAGGAUCGCUGUUGACCUGCAACAUUCAAUUUAAGAAUAAUGGUUAUAAACAUUUAUAACAUUUACAGGCACUUAUCAUGCUUUUAUGACUACAAUCAUGUGCUCUGAAUUAUACAUUUUGAGAAAUCGGUGUCUGUAAAAGUAUCUGGGUUUAAGGGCUAGAUGCCACUGCACUCAAAGCCAGCUAAGAUGUUACUUGAUGUGACUGCAAACGGUAGCGCUUUGGCCACAAGACUUGGAAGGUCAUAUGUUGACAGUGUCUUGCCCGGGUGUGUUCUCAUCCAGCUGUCUGCUGCGCUGUUUAUGUAGUGCUUUAGUGGACCAAAGACACUCCUGUCCAGCGGCUGGAGACGAUGGGAACAGUGUAGUCCUCCUCUCCUUCCCACCACACUAUGUGACCUGCAAAAGUCCAUGGCUGCCACGGAAAGGUAUGGUGGUUGUCUAGUAGGAGCAGCACCUUUGACUCCAGGGUCACGCGGGUGUGUCAGAAGUGCUAGAGAAAGGCAACAAAGUCUGCCUCCUGCAUCCACCCAUAGCCGCUGGCAGACCAUGCAGAACUGACGGGACCAUCCCUCACGAAGUCGUGGUACUUCUUCCUGGGGAAGAUGAAAUAUGGGGGGACAUAGUUGCCUUGUGCGUUCCCGGCCAAAGCAAUGGUGACUAAUGUCCCCCUCUCCACAGAGGUCACGGCACCGACCUGGCGCUGCCCCUUGGUGACAAUGAUUUUGUCAGGGUCUUGAACAGUUGUGGUUCCUGAAAAUAAAUGAUGAAUUUAAUGACUUGAAAUGAUUAAAUUAAUUAUGAACUUUA